GACGAACGCUGGCGGCGUGCUUAACACAUGCAAGUCGAACGGAAAGGCCCUGCUUGCAGGGUGCUCGAGUGGCGAACGGGUGAGUAACACGUGGGUGAUCUGCCCCUUACUUUGGGAUAAGCCUGGGAAACUGGGUCUAGUACUGGAUAGGACCAUGCUGUAGGUGGUGUGGUGGAAAGAUUAGUUUCGGUAAGGGAUGAGCUCGCGGCCUAUCAGCUUGUUGGUGGGGUAAUGGCCUACCAAGGCGUCGACGGGUAGCCGGCCUGAGAGGGUGGACGGCCACAUUGGGACUGAGAUACGGCCCAGACUCCUACGGGAGGCAGCAGUGGGGAAUAUUGCACAAUGGGCGCAAGCCUGAUGCAGCGACGCCGCGUGGGGAUGACGGCCUUCGGGUUGUAAACUCCUUUCAGCCAUGACGAAGCCCUUGUGGUGACGGUAGUGGUAGAAGAAGCACCGGCUAACUACGUG
rnacentral:rRNA from 1 species